AAACAGGAUUAGAUACCCUGGUAGUCCACGCCGUAAACGAUGUCGACUUGGAGGUUGUGCCCUUGAGGCGUGGCUUCCGGAGCUAACGCGUUAAGUCGACCGCCUGGGGAGUACGGCCGCAAGGUUAAAACUCAAAUGAAUUGACGGGGGCCCGCACAAGCGGUGGAGCAUGUGGUUUAAUUCGAUGCAACGCGAAGAACCUUACCUGGUCUUGACAUCCACGGAAGUUUUCAGAGAUGAGAAUGUGCCUUCGGGAACCGUGAGACAGGUGCUGCAUGGCUGUCGUCAGCUCGUGUUGUGAAAUGUUGGGUUAAGUCCCGCAACGAGCGCAACCCUUAUCCUUUGUUGCCAGCGGUCCGGCCGGGAACUCAAAGGAGACUGCCAGUGAUAAACUGGAGGAAGGUGGGGAUGACGUCAAGUCAUCAUGGCCCUUACGACCAGGGCUACACACGUGCUACAAUGGCGCAUACAAAGAGAAGCGAUCUCGCGAGAGCAAGCGGACCUCAUAAAGUGCGUCGUAGUCCGGAUUGGAGUCUGCAACUCGACUCCAUGAAGUCGGAAUCGCUAGUAAUCGUGGAUCAGAAUGCCACGGUGAAUACGUUCCCGGGCCUUGUACACACCGCCCGUCACACCAUGGGAGUGGGUUGCAAAAGAAGUAGGUAGCUUAACCUUCGGGAGGGCGCUUACCACUUUGUGAUUCAUGACUGGGGUGAAGUCGUAACAAGGUAACCGUAGGGGAACCUGCGGUUG
rnacentral:rRNA from 1 species